UCGGCGGGUCCGUCCGCCGUAGGAGGAGUACGACCCUGCUUCGGUACCCGAGGGAGGAGGAAAGCAGGGCGGAAGGACAUGUACAGUGUGUUUUGCUGAACAAUUUGAGAUGUCAGUUGGAUAAAUUUCUACAAGUGGACUCGCUGGAUCACGGGCUGUGCACAUGCCUGUGCCACAUGCCGCGGGACAGCUAGGCCCGGGCGCCACAACUACUGAGCUCAUGUGCCUCAACGAGAGAGCCCGCGUGCCGCAAACUACAGAGGCCACGCGCUCUGGAGCCUGCACGCCACAACUAGAGAGAGAAAAACCUGCACGUCACAACUAGAGAGAAGCCUGUGCACCGCAACGAAAGAUGCCACAACUAAGACCCGACACAGCCAAAAAAAUAAAGAAAAUAGAUAUAGAAAAUAAAUAAAUAAAUAAAUAACAA